AUUGAACGCUGGCGGCAGGCCUAACACAUGCAAGUCGAACGAGUGGCGGACGGGUGAGUAAUGUCUGUGAAACUGCCCGAUGGAGGGGGAUAACUACUGGAAACGGUAGCUAAUACCGCAUACCAUCGGAUGUGCCCAGAUGGGAUUAGCUAGUAGGUGUGGUAACGGCUCACAUAGGCGACGAUCCCUAGCUGGUCUUAGAGGAUGACCAGCCACAUCGGAACUGAGACACGGUCCAUGCGCCUACGGCAGGCAGCAGUGGGGAAGAUUGCACAAUGGGCGCAAGCCUGAUGCAGCCAUGCCGCUUGUAUGAAGAAGGCCUUCGGGUUGUAAAGUACUUUCAGCGAGGAGGCGUUACUCGCAGAAGAAGCACCGGCUAAAUCCGUGCCAGCAGCCGCGGUAAUAC
rnacentral:rRNA from 1 species